UUAUAGUAGAUUAUAUGGGUUACCGUAUUUCCCACCGUACGGUGGUUGUGGGAGAGUUCCCAGAGUCCGUCAGCCAACCCGCUAGAGGCCUUACUACCGAAGUCGGACGUUUCAUGAAGCAUUAUGCCAACCAUAGUCGAUGUGCGGAAUAAUUAGUCUACAUGCCGUUUAGAUGAAUUUCUGUGCAGCCAUGGCCAACUUAGGUUCUUCAGGGCUAAUUUAAUGCAAUGUCACUCAAACCUCUGUCCUAAAAAUUGAAUCCUCUACUGUAUAUAUUCACUCAAAUCUCAGUCUAGUGAUCCAAGCUUGUCUAUUUUAUAUGAUGCUUGGUAGGAGUUGGAUAUAUGUCUACAUGUUUUUUAGAACUAUAAACAUUUGCUGGGUUAAUGUGCAAGAUCGGCUGAUUCAAACUCUGUUGGCAUUUUCCCGUUGCUAGCAUGUGAUGUAAAUUUUUGUUGGGCCACUUUCAUAAUUUCAUUUCUUCGACCUGGAGGUUGAAUACAGGGAAUACUACUGUUCAGUUUGUUAAAAUACUGAAACCACUCU